AUGUCGUGGUCCAAAUGCUCAAAAUGGUUUGCUGAUCGUAAGCAUCGUCAACUUCUUGAGGCGGCUUGUGCAUUGAAGAUCAACACCUCUCUUUCACCUCACUUUUGGGUUGAGGUUGUUUACACUUCCACCUACCUCGUCAACAGUCAGCCUUCCUUGCUUUGCAAGGUGACAUUCCUCUCGAGUGUCUGCUUGGUCGUUCUCAUGGCUACUGAGCGCUUCAUGUGUUGGGAUCCUAUCGAUCGGCGAAUGUGCAUUCCUCAGGGUGUGACUUUUGACGAGUCAAGUGACAUGGUGCAAGCUGAGCCUGUCCAUAAUGAUCUUCAGCCAUUCUUUGAACUUCAAAGGAGUAUUUCACAGCGUGCUAAGUUCAUAAUCUAA
rnacentral:rRNA from 1 species